AACGAACGCUGGCGGCAUGCUUAACACAUGCAAGUCGAACGGGAUCCUGGCUUCGGUCAGGUGAGAGUGGCGGACGGGUGAGUAACGCGUGGGAACCUGCCCAUUGGUUCGGAACAACCGCGGGAAACUGCGGCUAAUACCGGAUACGCCCCUGGGCAACCAGGGGGAAAGAUUUAUCGCCAUUGGAGGGGCCCGCGUCCGAUUAGGUAGUUGGCGGGGUAACGGCCCACCAAGCCAUCGAUCGGUAGCUGGUCUGAGAGGAUGAUCAGCCACACUGGGACUGAGAUACGGCCCAGACUCCUACGGGAGGCAGCAGUGGGGAAUAUUGGACAAUGGGGGCGACCCUGAUCCAGCAAUGCCGCGUGAGUGAUGAAGGCCUUCGGGUUGUAAAGCUCUUUUGCCAGGGACGAUGAUGACGGUACCUGGAGAAUAAGCCCCGGCUAACUUCGUGCCAGCCGCCGCCGUAAGAC
rnacentral:rRNA from 1 species